rnacentral:pre_miRNA from 1 species
CAAAUACUCCCUCCAUCCGGAAAUACUUGUCAUCAAAAUGGAUAAAAGGAAAUGUAUCUAGACGUAUUUUAGUUUUAGAUACAUAUCUUUUUAUCCAUUUUGAUGACAAGUAU